rnacentral:rRNA from 1 species
UAUGUAUGGGGCAAGCGCUAUCCGGAUUUAUUGGGCGUAAAGCGCGCGCAGGCGGCUUGUUAAGUCAGGUGUGAAAUCCGGGGGCUCAACCCGCGGCUUGCAUCUGAAACUGGCAGGCUUAAGUCUGGUAGAGGAAAGUGGAAUUCCUGGUGUAGCGGUGAAAUGCGCAGAUAUCAGGAGGAACACCAGUGGCGAAGGCGGCUUUCUGGGCCACGACUGACGCUGAGGCGCGAAAGCUAGGGGAGCGAACAGGAUUAGAUACCCUGGUAGUCCUAGCCGUAAACGAUGGGCACUAGGCGUGGGGGGUCAUCGACUCCCUCCGUGCCGAAGCUAACGCAUUAAGUGCCCCGCCUGGGGAGUACGGCCGCAAGGCUAAA